rnacentral:rRNA from 1 species
CCCUUAGAUGUUCUGGGCCGCACGCGCGCUACACUGAUGCAUUCAACAAGCCUAGCCUUGUCCGAGAGGUCCGGGUAAUCUUUGAAACUGCAUCGUGAUGGGGCUAGAUUAUUGCAAUUAUUAAUCUUCAACGAGGAAUGCCUAGUAAGCGUGAUUCAUCAAAUCGCGUUGAUUACGUCCCUGCCCUUUGUACACACCGCCCGUCGCUCCUACCGAUUGAAUGUGUUGGUGAGGAGCUCGGAUUGGCAGCAGUUGGUGGUUCGCCACCGGCUAUUGCUGAGAAGUCCUCCAAACCGCCCCAUUUAGAGGAAGGAGAAGUCGUAACA